AUACGGAGGGUGCAAGCGUUAUGCGGAAUCACUGGGCGUAAAGGACGCGUAGGCGGGUUGGCAAGUCAGAUGUGAAAUCCUACAGCUUAACUGUAGAACUGCAUUUGAAACUGCUAACCUAGAGUGUGGGAGGGGGAGAUGGAAUUAGUGGUGUAGGGGUAAAAUCCGUAGAUAUCACUAGGAAUACCGAAAGCGAAGGCGAUCUCCUGGAACAUAACUGACGCUAAGGCGUGAAAGCGUGGGGAGCAAACAGGAUUAGAAACCCGUGUAGUCC
rnacentral:rRNA from 1 species